GGCCGUAAUACACGUAUAAAAUUACAUUGAAAACCUUGUUUGGGACAGCCAGCACUGGCUCGUAUACGGAAUAGCGAGUGGCCGUACUUCAGGAUGGAGUGAAGGUCAUUGUUCCCAGAGGACAGACAGCUCGGUCGGUGUCAUUCACUGGAUGCUGAGCCUCUCGGAAACAGAGAAGGAUACGAUUAUCACAAGCAGUGGGACAAGAGCUCAUCUUCACCAAGUUGUGCUUUUGCUUGGAAUCUCUGAUCUACACACAAGGUCUGUAUCGAUUCUAACAAACUGACACGGCACUAUUUAUAGCUGCUAGCCUGGAGGUAUGUGAUUAGGUAGAUGCAUGGGAUUUCCUGUACAAAUACCUUAGUUAUAAAAUGUAGUUUACGUAUAAUAUACUAACUUAUUAUGCCGAGUUCAUUCACAACUAGGUAGGUAGCGG